CUGCUUUUGUUGAAACAUGAUUCCAAUCUAGAAUAUGAAGUUCGAGGUUUAAAGUUUUAAUUUUUGGAAAUGAUAAUAAGUUAAUUUCCUUGUUUGUUUCCCAUUUGUGCAAUUUUCUGGGCUCUACCCACUGAUAAAUGGUUCAUAGAGGUUGAAGUUAGUCUUUUGAUAAAUCAUUGUAUGACUGUUGUCGGUGUAUCCAAAACCUAUGGGCCCUGAAUUUUGGGAUAAAUAAAAAAAAUUGGCAACUAAUAAAGAGGGAGAUAGAUAGAUACAUAGAUUCAAGACAAUCUACCAUUUGUUCUUCAAAAUUGAAAGUCUUGCUUGAUUUUAUUUUUUGGUUCAGCAUACGUUGCAAGAAGACAAAUGACAAGCCGCACCUGUAAUAUAGUUUUGCAAGCACCAGCCAGCUCAUUGCGUUUUUAUAUCUCAACCAACCCUGCAAAAUUCCAUUAUUCAAAUUGUCUCUCAUCAUUAGGAUCCCAAAAAAGAUGUCUUGGGUCUACUAGCUCCAAGCUGAAGAAUAGCUGCCGCUCUUUAACGCCUAGAACUGCAGCAAUGUGCUGUGAUAUUUCUUUUUGGUCCCAAAAUGUGAAUAUGAGGCUUUUCUUGCCCACUCAGUCAAAGGUUCCGGAAAACAGCUGCAAAUUUGGACAGCGAAAUCAUACAUCUGGUGUUUUAUUUAUUGGAUUUUUAGUAUGCUGCUCUGCCUCUGAACCAGUACAUGCUGAAGCAUCAGGAGAAAGUAGGGGAGAUAGCUGUGAUUCCUCAACCACUGGCUAUUCACGUGUAAAGAAGGUCUAUACUGACUAUUCUGUAAUUGGUAUACCUGGAGAGGGAAGAUGUUUAUUUCGUUCUGUUGCUCAUGGUGCUUGUGUAAGGUCAGGGAACCGCGCUCCUGAUGAGAACCUACAGAGGCAAUUAGCAGAUGAAUUGUGGGCCAGAGUGGCUGAUGAAUUUAUAAAGAGGAGAUAAGAGACAGAAUGGUUCAUCGAAGGAGAUUUUAACACAUAUGUUGCCCAAAUAAGGAACUGUCAUGUGUGGGGAGUUGAACCAGAAGUUUUGAUGGCUUCUCAUGUUCUCCAGAUGCCAAUUAGUGUAUACAUGUAUGACCAGGACGCAAGCGGCCUGAUUUCUAUUGCUGAAUACGGGCAAGAAUAUGGCAAGGACAAUCCUAUUAAGGUUCUGUAUCACGGAUUUGGUCAUUAUGAUGCAUUGCACAUUCCCGGGAAGAAAGGACCAAGAUCAAAACUUUAAACUGCAUUUUGAUUAUUAAGGUUUAUCUUGGAGGAGGAGAGAAUGCACAGGCUUUUGAGCUAUGUUAUUAUCUAAAAUGUAACAAGUAGGCUGAAUGUGAAUAGUCAAGAGAUGGGUUUCUGAUUAUGUGCUCUCUAGGAGUUUCCAGGAGGUAGAUGAAAAAGUAUCGGGGAGAGGUGAUAAGACAAGAUAUGACUCAGCUUCAGAUUAUCGAGGACAUGACCUUAGAUAGGAGGGUGUGGAGGACACGUAUUAGGGUAGAAUGUUAAUAGGUAGUGUAGUGUUGCCUUGAGUAGGGUGUUUGUCAGUGUACUAGUUGUAUUACUGUAGUUCUUUUUUUUCAUAUCCAUCAUUAUUGUUUUCAAUACUCUAUCCUAGUAUGUUGUGUAUUGAAUUUCGAUUAUUGUUGUUGUAGUUGUAGCUUUUGGUAGACUUGUACCUCUCCCAUGACUCGCUAUAUUUUCUUCUUUGUAUCUAGAAUUGCUGCAUCUGAGUCGAGGGUCUUUCGGAAACAACCUCUCUACCUUUAUGAGGUUGUGGUAAGGUUUGCGUACAUUGUACCCUCUCCAGACCCCACUUGUGGGAUUUUACUGGGGUUUGGAAUUUUGAGUAAAUUUAUGAAGGCACAUGUUGAUUUUGUGCAAUGGCUUGAAACUGAAGUGUCUCUGAACAUUCUGAUGCGUUUGAAUGAUCCAGCUGAUGUGGUCCGUGCUGCCUCUGUUUCACGCCUUUGGCACCAGUUUGUGGCUACAAAUGGAAUUUCCAAGCAACUGUGUCUGAGAAAGUUUCCGCAGCUUUCUAGCAUUGCACGUAUAACAGAACCAGAUUUGAGAGUAGCAGAAAGAAAAGAAGAGUCUAGCAAUUCCAGUUGGGAGGCUCUAAAAAGAGACCAUAAUGUAUAUGCUUCUCUACUUCAAGAUAUUGAAACAUCAAGCUCAUGCCCUAGUGAUUGCAUAGAAGUACGGACCAUUAUCCAUUUGAAAGUAUUGUGAAUACUCUAGCUCCAUCAGACAGACAUCGAAAUACGCCUUCAUAUUGGUCAAGUAUAGGGCACAGUGAUUCCAAUGCUCCCGAGACGAUAUAUUACAAAUUGAAAGCUGAUCUUUGUUGUAUCACUGAAAUUAACAUACAACCUUUUGAAGUUUAUUUUCAUCGAGCCAGGCCCAUAUUCCCCGCAAAAUCUGUUCGAUUUCGAUUAGGACAUCUCAAAUCCUCAAGAGAUCAGAGUGAUCUCCUGCACUUUCCCCAGGUACAGCCUGCUGAUGACGAUUUUAUAUGGAUGUAUACCUCGGAAGAAUUCCAUAUGAGACAGGAAAACCGCUUGCAGCAGUUCAAGUUACCAGAAUCAGUGCUUUGCAUUGGUGGAUAUCUGCAGAUUGAACUGUUGGGCAGAGGUCAGAGAUGUGAUAUUGACAACUUGUUUUACAUAUGCAUUAGCCAUGUGAAAGUGAGAGGACGACCACUCAGUCCUGCCUUUGGUGUACAGAACAUCGAACUGUCUGGAGACUUUGUGCUCGAGUACAAAAGAGAGGUUCUCUAAUCCAUGUUGCAAAGCUUGUCUAAUAGGAUUCAUCCAAGAUUCCAAUAACAUUCGAACAAAUAGUGCUUGGAAUUACCUGCUGGGUUUGGACAUAUGAAGUGGAAUGAUGGAGGCAAUUUUUAAUAGACCAAAAAGAAAUUUGGUGUGUUUGAUAUGACAGAGAACCUUAUCUGAUAGUUCAUUUGAAAUAGUGAGACAUGAAGUUUCUUCUGGAAUAUAUAUUCCUCCAUUCCAAACACCCUUUGUAACUUUUAACGCUAUGAUUAUCCUUUCAUUUAGUUUUCUACAUUACUUUCCAAUUAAAUACCCUCCAUUUUCGAA